AUGUGUUCAAUAUAUUGUUUUUCUGUUCCACUGUGCCCUAGUACCAACAACAAAACAGUCAACAGCAAGUUCAGCAACUCCAACGACACCCUCCGGUAUGAGACCUCAAUUAUACAAAUGUGUAAUUACAAUUUUAACUUUCGCAUUUUUACAUUUUGUUCUGUUUUUGUUUUAGAAAACACACUGAACCUACAAUUUACUAUGGCUCUCGACUUUCAAUCCAUCUUUAAUGAUGAAAAUAAUGCAAUGUUCAAAGAUAUUGAUCAAACUAUCAAAGUCAUAUAUAAGAGAAACAUGAAAGGCUUCAUAUCAGCAAAGUUAAAUAGCUUAAAGUAAGUUUUGCCCCGGUGUUAUUACCUCUAUUCAAAAUUUUUUACAUUUGAUGUUAUUUCAAGCCUUCAUUUCAUGUGCUACUCAUUUGAAUAUUCAAAUAGUAAAUGUCUCCUUAAAUUUAGCCAAUUUCUCAACUUUCAGUAUAAUGUAUCAUUUCAAUCCCUAGUGAUUUUGAGGGAUAUAUGGGCCCUAUAAUACUUGUUGCACAAAUGUAACGAAUUGAAGGCUGCUAAGCAAAGCUGAAAUACUAACAAUUUAAAUUGUGUCCCACAAUGUCCAAUAUAAUAAAUACAUUUUCAGUAUAUGCCCCAGAGACAAGAGUAUCCCUUCGAAAUGAAAAGGACUUGGGGUUGAUGUUAUACAAUGUAUGUAUGGGCUAUUUUUGCUAAUGUACACAUGCAUGAAAUUCAUUUGUGGAUAUGUUUGCUGAUACUUUUUUGAAUAGGAAGGGAAGUGUUAUUGCAGAUUUUACUGUUAUGACAACAAUUGUCGAUAAUGGGGAAAUUGCCAAAGCAAAAAAGGAUAUUGUCUCAACACUUGGAGAAAAAUAUCAGAUACGUAAGUACUUGAUUAGGUUAGCAUUUGGUGGACAAAGUUAGUUAUUACUUGUCCUGAAAUACAUUCAAAAAAGUAUUUAGAUCAGUUUAAACUGUGGCAGCAGUACAUGUCAGUUGAUUUUAGAUUAAUUGUUCACUUUCUUAAAUUUCUGGUGUGCUUCAAAAAUAUUGUCUCAAGAAUUUCGCUUAAAUUCGCCUUCAUGUUAUCACAUAAUUCAUCACAUGUAAUCUACAGUUGUAAUAUCUAUAAAAUUAUAAUUCUAAAUAUUGUAUAAAAUAUUGUUUAUUUAUAUAUUUAAGGUACAGUGGGGGGAAAAAGUAUUUGAUCCCCUGCUGAUUUUGUACGUUUGCACACUUACAAAAAAAUGAUCAGUCUAUAAUUUUAAUAGUAGGUUUAUUUGAACAGUGAGAGACAGAAUAACAACAAAAGAAUCCAGAAAAACGCAUGUCAACAAUUUUAUAAAAUGAUUUGCAUUUUAAUGAGGGAAAUAAGUAUCUGACCCCUCUGCAAAACAUGACUUAGUACUUGGUGGCAAAACCCGUGUUGGCAAUCACAGAUGUCAGACGUUUCUUGUAGUUGGCCACCAGGUUUGCACACAUCUCAGGAGGGAUUAUGUCCCACUCCUCUUUGCAGAUCUUCUCCAAGUCAUUAAGGUUUCGAGGCUGACGUUUGGCAACUCGAACCUUCAGCUCCCUCCACAGAUUUUCUAUGGNNNNNNNNNNNNNNNNNNNNUAAAUAAUUUGAUGUUUAAUGAGGAACGCUGUAAGAUGUGAGUUUAAAUAAUUAGGUUGAAAUAAGCAUCGAUUUUAACUGAAUAAAGUGGAACGAUUGGGUUUAAAUAAAUAUGU
rnacentral:lncRNA from 8 species